GGAAAGCAUCAGGUAUGAUCAUAUAUUAUCUUGUGGCCUUCAUAUUUUUGUUCAUUACCAUUGUUCUAGUUGCUUUCUUUGAAAAUCUCUGUUUUUGUGCUCUUGGUAAUAUAACUUCUGGACUACUGUUCAACAAUCUAUUUCAUCCUCUUUAAUUAUAACGUAUUACUCCAAAAGUCCUUGUAGUGGUUAUUAGUUGUACUUGAAAUAGAUUUCUUAGUGGAUGCAUGAGGGGAAUGUAGCAUUCUCAAG
rnacentral:misc_RNA from 1 species